rnacentral:rRNA from 1 species
UACGGAGGGUGCAAGCGUUACUCGGAAUUACUGGGCGUAAAGCGUGCGUAGGUGGUUUGUUAAGUCUGUUGUGAAAGCCCCGGGCUCAACCUGGGAAUUGCGAUGGAGACUGCAAGGCUAGAAUCUGGCAGAGGGGGUAGAAUUCCACGUGUAGCAGUGAAAUGCGUAGAGAUGUGGAGGAACACCGAUGGCGAAGGCAGCCCCCUGGGUCAAGAUUGACGCUCAUGCACGAAAGCGUGGGGAGCAAACAGG